AUAUUUAGCCUGUGUAUUCCUGUAAAACAGACUGAUCACGAAUUGUAGAAUUUUGGAAGAAACGGCGUCACAAUUCAAUAAAAUACCACGAGUAUUAAGACUCGGAGAAAAAAAAUAUCCUUGGGAAAAAAAGGUCGGAGUGUUCCUUUUCUUUAUUUGUUUUUUUUUUAGGUUAAAGGUCGUUUUAUACUUUUCUUUUUUUAUAAUGACUUAUUUUUAUAUUGUUCCCUUUUUUUGUUUUUUGUUUUUUAGAAUUAGCGGAAAUGAAUAAAGAAAAGAAGGAAAGAUUAACGAAUGUUAUUCGUCGCCUUAUAACGUUUAGAUCUUGUAAAGUCGGAUCAAUGUCUUAUUGCUCUCUGGCUAAGAAAGGCUUUUAUUUUAAUUCGGAGAUUAAUGUCAUUGAGUGCCACGAGUGUGGAAAAUUAUAUUCGGCUUGGAAAGAUGAUGUAAAUCAUUAUGCAUUUUGUAGCUAUGGUACAGAACCGUUUCCGCGUUUAGUUAAAACUACGAGAUAUGAUGCGGAUAGUUUUAGACAUUUUCCCAGUCCGCAGCCGGUUCUUGCCGUUCCAAAGAAUAUGAGCGAAUCUGAUAGCGAAUCUGAAGAAAAUGAUAAUUUAAACUCUGACCAAGAAAAUGAACGUCGACAAACGGAAAAGGAAUCGGAAAGUUACCAAGAAGCGCUUUUCAAGUAUCAGGAAGCGAUGAGAAAACUUGACAAUGAUAUUCCUUUACGGACAUUGCUUCGUAAUGAUUUGACUAUACAGAUGAACCGUUAUAAAACAUUUUCCACUACGUGCGCUCCCUGGCCUUGGAGAGGCGUAAUCCCAGGACGAGAAUUAGCGAGAUGCGGCUUCUUCUUUUGUGGUGAUACGGAUCGUGUUCAAUGCUUUAGUUGUGGAAUUACUCUUAGGAAAUGGAGUUAUGGCGAUAUGCCUUUUGAGGUUCAUCUAAAAAAUUCGCCGUCUUGUCGUCACGUUAAGAAAUUAGUUGAUGAUAGAAAUCCAUUUAUCUAAAAACAAAAAGAAAAACAGGAAAGAGGAAAAAAACAACAUCUAAUUAAAUCUCUAAAUAUUUAAGAUUCAAACCUUUGGAGUUGUUUGCAAUGAGUUGUGUUGUUAUGAUUUGACAUUGGUUAAGGCAAAUAAAUAUUACAGUGAUGUUACCGGUUAGAUAUUUAAAUUUAUUUGUCUUACCGGUAUUCAUUUCUGUUUUAAAAAAAUUCUAAAACUUCCGGUUUCAAUUUUUAUAUUUUUUAGGAAUCGUUCCAUGAUCACGUGAUUAAUAAUUCCAUAGCUAGGACGAGAUUAGAGAAGCUGAUGAAAUUAUUCCAAUUUUAGAAGGUAUAAUAAAUAUAUUGAUUUCUUUUAAAGAUAAACAUUCGAAUAUCGACAAGAAACAGAUACAUAUUAUAUUUCAUAAGCUAAAUAGACAGUUUGGACAAAAAAGCGAAAAAAUUGAUGGAAUUUAAAAACAAACACAAAAAAGUAAAACGAUUUAGAAUAGAAUUAUUAAUAUUAACGUUUGAAGAUGAUAUAUCUAAAACUAAUAGGGUCGGCUAAUAGAGGUGGAUUUAUAGCUUAAGUUAUAUAUCAUAUAAUAGUAAUUCCUUAAAAAGAGCAAGUUUAGCCACCAGAUGACGACACAGUAGAAAUAUAAUAUUCAUCCUAUUGUCUUUGUUUUUUUUCUGUUUUAUCCCCAUAAGGCUGUGCCCACGCCUUUCAGGUGGUGGAAAUUAUUGUUUCUGAGACUUUUCGAUUGUUUCUCCUUUGUUUGCGGGAAAAUCUAUAAUCCCUUGAUAUAUUUUAUUGUAAGUUACGCGCGCCUAAUGUUAUAUAUUCUGUAUUGUUUUCCCCAAAUAUCGAAUAUUGCCACAAUAAAAAUACAAAAUUAAUAAACUAUAUCGUAUGGAAAUGGA
rnacentral:misc_RNA from 1 species